AAUCCCUAGCUCUGCGCGGGCGCAAUUAUGUGCGGCGAGGUAGUCUUUUGGAGAGUCGUGGGCUGCAGAGUGUUGGGCAAAGCGGUGGGCUGCAGAGUGGUGGGCAGAGUGGUGGGCUAGAGAGAGGGGAACCAUGGUUAAUGCCAUGAAAAUUAGGGCUAUUACUGCUAACUUGUUGAACCCCAUUUUCUAGUUGUCUAUAUUAAGCAAUGUAGAGGCAGAAAAU
rnacentral:lncRNA from 1 species